rnacentral:rRNA from 1 species
UACGUAGGGGGCAAGCGUUGUCCGGAUUUAUUGGGCGUAAAGCGCUCGCAGGUGGUUCGAUGCGUCGUGCGUGAAAGACCCCGGCUCAACUGGGGAGGGUCGUGCGAUACGGUCGAACUGGAGGCCAGUAGGGGGAUGCGGAAUUCCGGGUGUAGUGGUGGAAUGCGUAGAGAUCCGGAGGAACACCAGCGGCGAAGGCGGCAUCCUGGACUGGUCCUGACACUCAGGAGCGAAAGCUAGGGGAGACAAACAGG